rnacentral:rRNA from 1 species
AGCAGCCGCGGUAAUUCCAGCUCCAAUAGCGUAUAUUAAAGUUGUUGCAGUUAAAAAGCUCGUAGUUGAAUUUCGGAGUUUGUCGGUUGGUCGGGCUUCACUGUCCGCACUGGCCUGAUGGAUUCCUACCUUCUGAAUAACCAGCAUGCUAUUAAGUUAGUGCGUUGGGGAAGCAGAGCUAUUACCUUGAAAAAAUUAGAGUGCUUAAAGCAGGCUUAUGCUUGAAUAGAUUAGCAUGGAAUAAUAAAAUAGGACGGCAUGGUUCUAUUUUGUUGGUUUCUAGGAUCACCGUAAUGAUUAAUAGGGAUAGUUGGGGGCAUUAGUAUUCAAUUGUCAGAGGUGAAAUUCUUGGAUUUAUUGAAGACUAACUUCUGCGAAAGCAUUUGCCAAGGAUGUUUUCAUUAAUCAAGAACGAAAGUUAGGGGAUCGAAGACGAUCAGAUACCGUCGUAGCCUUAACCAUAAACUAUGCCGACUAGGGAUCGGACGAUGUUAAUUUUUAAUGACUCGUUC